rnacentral:rRNA from 1 species
GGUGGAGCAUGUGGUUUAAUUCGAUGCAACGCGAAGAACCUUACCUGGUCUUGACAUCCACAGAAGUUUCCAGAGAUGGGAACGUGCCUUCGGGAACUGUGAGACAGGUGCUGCAUGGCUGUCGUCAGCUCGUGUUGUGAAAUGUUGGGUUAAGUCCCGCAACGAGCGCAACCCUUAUCCUUUGUUGCCAGCGGUUAGGCCGGGAACUCAAAGGAGACUGCCAGUGAUAAACUGGAGGAAGGUGGGGAUGACGUCAAGUCAUCAUGGCCCUUACGACCAGGGCUACACACGUGCUACAAUGGAA